rfam:Vibrio parahaemolyticus RIMD 2210633 DNA, chromosome 1, complete sequence.
GGUUAAGUGACUAAGCGUACACGGUGGAUGCCUUGGCAGUCAGAGGCGAUGAAAGACGUAGUAACUUGCGAUAAGCCCAGAUUAGGUAGUAACAACCAUUUGAGUCUGGGAUUUCUGAAUGGGGAAACCCACGUGCAUAAGCACGUAUCCUUACCUGAAUACAUAGGGUAAGGAGGCGAACCGGGGGAACUGAAACAUCUAAGUACCCCGAGGAAAAGAAAUCAACCGAGAUUCCGAAAGUAGCGGCGAGCGAAAUUGGACUAGCCCUUAAGCUUUACACGCGUUAGACGAACGGUCUGGAAAGUCCGACGAUACAGGGUGAUAGUCCCGUAGUUGACGACGUGUGUUCAGUGAAAUCGAGUAGGGCGGGACACGUGAUAUCCUGUCUGAAUAUGGGGGGACCAUCCUCCAAGGCUAAAUACUACUGACUGACCGAUAGUGAACCAGUACCGUGAGGGAAAGGCGAAAAGAACCCCUGUGAGGGGAGUGAAAUAGAACCUGAAACCGUGUACGUACAAGCAGUAGGAGCAGGCUUUGUCCUGUGACUGCGUACCUUUUGUAUAAUGGGUCAGCGACUUAUAUUCAGUGGCAAGGUUAACCAUCUAGGGGAGCCGUAGGGAAACCGAGUCUUAACUGGGCGUUCAGUCUCUGGAUAUAGACCCGAAACCAGGUGAUCUAGCCAUGGGCAGGUUGAAGGUUGAGUAACAUCAACUGGAGGACCGAACCGACUAAUGUUGAAAAAUUAGCGGAUGACUUGUGGCUAGGGGUGAAAGGCCAAUCAAACCUGGAGAUAGCUGGUUCUCCCCGAAAGCUAUUUAGGUAGCGCCUCGGACGAAUACUACUGGGGGUAGAGCACUGUUAAGGCUAGGGGGUCAUCCCGACUUACCAACCCUUUGCAAACUCCGAAUACCAGUAAGUACUAUCCGGGAGACACACGGCGGGUGCUAACGUCCGUCGUGGAGAGGGAAACAACCCAGACCGCCAGCUAAGGUCCCAAAUUACUACUAAGUGGGAAACGAUGUGGGAAGGCUCAGACAGCCAGGAUGUUGGCUUAGAAGCAGCCAUCAUUUAAAGAAAGCGUAAUAGCUCACUGGUCGAGUCGGCCUGCGCGGAAGAUGUAACGGGGCUAAGUAGUAAACCGAAGCUGCGGCAAUGUGCUUUUGCACAUUGGGUAGGGGAGCGUUCUGUAAGCGGUUGAAGGUGUGUGGUAACGCAUGCUGGACGUAUCAGAAGUGCGAAUGCUGACAUGAGUAACGAUAAAGGGGGUGAAAAACCUCCUCGCCGGAAGACCAAGGGUUCCUGUCCAACGUUAAUCGGGGCAGGGUAAGUCGACCCCUAAGGCGAGGCCGAAAGGCGUAGUCGAUGGGAAACGGGUUAAUAUUCCCGUACUUCUUACAAUUGCGAUGGGGGGACGGAGAAGGCUAGGUGGGCCUGGCGACGGUUGUCCAGGUUCAAGUGCGUAGGCUUAAGAGUUAGGUAAAUCCGGCUCUUUUUAAGGCUGAGACACGACGUCGAGCAUCUACGGAUGUGAAGUCAUUGAUGCCAUGCUUCCAGGAAAAGCCUCUAAGCUUCAGAUUGUAAGGAAUCGUACCCCAAACCGACACAGGUGGUCGGGUAGAGAAUACCAAGGCGCUUGAGAGAACUCGGGUGAAGGAACUAGGCAAAAUGGUACCGUAACUUCGGGAGAAGGUACGCUCUCGACGGUGAAGUCCCUCGCGGAUGGAGCUAUUGAGAGUCGCAGAUACCAGGUGGCUGCAACUGUUUAUUAAAAACACAGCACUGUGCAAAAUCGUAAGAUGACGUAUACGGUGUGACGCCUGCCCGGUGCCGGAAGGUUAAUUGAUGGGGUUAGACUUCGGUCGAAGCUCUUGAUCGAAGCCCCGGUAAACGGCGGCCGUAACUAUAACGGUCCUAAGGUAGCGAAAUUCCUUGUCGGGUAAGUUCCGACCUGCACGAAUGGCGUAAUGAUGGCCACGCUGUCUCCACCCGAGACUCAGUGAAAUUGAAAUCGCUGUGAAGAUGCAGUGUACCCGCGGCUAGACGGAAAGACCCCGUGAACCUUUACUACAGCUUGGCACUGAACAUUGACCCUACAUGUGUAGGAUAGGUGGGAGGCUUUGAAGCACGUACGCCAGUAUGUGUGGAGCCGUCCUUGAAAUACCACCCUUGUAGUGUUGAUGUUCUAACGUCGACCCCUUAUCGGGGUUGCGGACAGUGCCUGGUGGGUAGUUUGACUGGGGCGGUCUCCUCCCAAAGAGUAACGGAGGAGCACGAAGGUGGGCUAAUCACGGUUGGACAUCGUGAGGUUAGUGCAAUGGCAUAAGCCCGCUUGACUGCGAGAAUGACAAUUCGAGCAGGUGCGAAAGCAGGUCAUAGUGAUCCGGUGGUUCUGAAUGGAAGGGCCAUCGCUCAACGGAUAAAAGGUACUCCGGGGAUAACAGGCUGAUACCGCCCAAGAGUUCAUAUCGACGGCGGUGUUUGGCACCUCGAUGUCGGCUCAUCACAUCCUGGGGCUGAAGUCGGUCCCAAGGGUAUGGCUGUUCGCCAUUUAAAGUGGUACGCGAGCUGGGUUUAGAACGUCGUGAGACAGUUCGGUCCCUAUCUGCCGUGGGCGUUGGAAGAUUGAAGGGGGCUGCUCCUAGUACGAGAGGACCGGAGUGGACGAACCUCUGGUGUUCGGGUUGUGUCGCCAGACGCAUUGCCCGGUAGCUAAGUUCGGAAUCGAUAACCGCUGAAAGCAUCUAAGCGGGAAGCGAGCCCUGAGAUGAGUCUUCCCUGAUACUUUAAGUAUCCUAAAGGGUUGUCGGAGACUACGACGUUGAUAGGUCAGGUGUGUAAGUGCUGUGAGGCAUUGAGCUAACUGAUACUAAUUGCCCGUGAGGCUUAACCAU